UACGUAGGAUGCAAGCGUUGUCCGGAUUUACUGGGCGUAAAGCGCGCGCAGGCGGCACUCUAAGUACGUCGUGAAAUAUCCCGGCUCAACCGGGAGGUGCGAUGUAGACUAGGGAGCUAGGGGUCGGUAGAGGGGGUGGAAUUGCUGGUGUAGCGGUGAAAUGCGUAGAGAUCAGCAGGAACACCCGUGGCGAAGGCGGCCCCCUGGGCCGAUAAAAAGAUCCCUG
rnacentral:rRNA from 1 species